UCCGUAGGUGGAUCAAUCAGUCAGAGGUGAAAUCCUGCAGCUUAACUGUAGAACUGCCUUUGAUACUGUUGAUCUUGAGUCAUUAUGAAGUGGUUAGAAUGUGUAGUGUAGCGGUGAAAUGCAUAGAUAUUACACAGAAUACCGAUUGCGAAGGCAGAUCACUAAUAAUGUACUGACACUGAGGGACGAAAGCGUGGGGAGCGAACAGGAUUAGAUACCAUGGUAGUCC
rnacentral:rRNA from 1 species